rnacentral:rRNA from 1 species
UAAAGAUUCAUCGCUGAUAGAUAGGCAUGCGUUCCAUUAGGCAGUUGGCGGGGUAACGGCCCACCAAACCGACGAUGGAUAGGGGUUCUGAGAGGAAGGUCCCCCACAUUGGUACUGAGACACGGACCAAACUCCUACGGGAGGCAGCAGUGAGGAAUAUUGGUCAAUGGGCGUAAGCCUGAACCAGCCAAGUCGCGUGAGGGAUGAAGGUUCUAUGGAUCGUAAACCUCUUUUAUAAGGGAAUAAAGUGUGGGACGUGUCCUGUUUUGUAUGUACCUUAUGAAUAAGGAUCGGCUAACUCCGUGCCAGCAGCCGCGGUAAUACGGAGGAUCCGAGCGUUAUCCGGAUUUAUUGGGUUUAAAGGGUGCGUAGGCGGCCUUUUAAGUCAGCGGUGAAAGUCUGUGGCUCAACCAUAGAAUUGCCGUUGAAACUGGGAGGCUUGAGUAUGUUUGAGGCAGGCGGAAUGCGUGGUGUAGCGGUGAAAUGCUUAGAUAUCACGCAGAACCCCGAUUGCGAAGGCAGCCUGCCAAGCCAUGACUGACGCUGAUGCACGAAAGCGUGGGGAUCAAACAGGAUUAGAUACCCUGGUAGUCCACGCAGUAAACGAUGAUCACUAGCUGUUUGCGAU